GCCGACGUGGCGCAAUCGGUAGCGCACCUGUCUUGUAAACAGGUGGUUGCGGGUUCGAAUCCCGCCGUCGGCU
rnacentral:tRNA from 1 species